rnacentral:sRNA from 1 species
AGCUGAGCAGACACGUACAGCACAAAACGCCGGGGAUGGGGGGUUUUCUUCAAGAUAAGUGGGGACAGCAGCAGACAGGAGCUCAGAUAGAAGAGAAUGAGUAAAGGACACCAGCAAUGGCGAGAUGGAACAAAGAAAUGAAUCUGUCUUUCUCUUUGAAUAUUUCUUUGAAAGAGGAAAGACUGUAUCAAGAGAAAUGUAUACUCUUGUAUUGAGGGUUACUGAGCCUGGCUGAGGAGAAUGUGUCACCAGAGCAGCACAGAGGCAGGGGUGGACCAGCAGUUACAUCGAGGUAGAUCCUUGUGUUAACAGGAAAAACACUUGGAGUCUCCAACACCACUGCUAUCCAGGCAUCCAUUCAUUCAAUUGAAGUGAUCGAAUCCAGGAUAGGACCAGCAGCCCCAGUAGUCCUGGGAGGUCAGUCAGAGAUCGGGACCAGGAAGCUUUUACUGCAGGGCCUCUCUGGAGUGUGGAUGGGAUUCUGGGAUUACUCAGCCCCUAAGAGCAUGGGGACUACAUGGAUGCAGAGAUGAUAACCUUCAUGGUCUUUUAGAGCUGGAGGUAAGUGUUGAAUUGGCCAUCUCUUUCCCUCCUUACAUCUUAUACACAGAGAGAACUGAGGUUCAGAGGAGUGAACUCAGUGCUGGCAUCAGCUAGUUUGAUCAUAACCAGGAGUAGAGCUCAGGUCUCCAGGUCCUGAGCCUGUGUCCUCUACCCCACAUCUACUUCCCUAAACUUCUUCCCAGAGGCCUUCUGAAGGUGGGUGGGGGUGGGGAGUUGACUCCUCAGGCACGUGGAGAUCAUCUCACUAAAAUUGAGAUUACAGCACCGUUUCCCCAGGCAGCAUGGGUGUGCUACCUUUUACUGUAGGGAGGCCUCUACCAGGCAUUCUGCUACAGCCGAGCACCUAGCCUCUAUCUUGUUUCCAUCAACAUAAUCUGUUCGCAACAUGAGAUUGGGCUUUUCCCUGGCCCCUUAUCACUAAUAGGAUCAGCGGAUUCUGCAGGAUGUGGGGAGCUGCAGUGAGCAUGCUCAGUCGGGGAAGCCGCUGUCUCAGAAACCGCAGCUCAGCUGGGUAUACACCAAGCUUUUGUAUUCAGGAGAGGAGAGUUCACCAGGAUUCGUCUCUCUCUCCUGGACCGCUUUAGCUCAGGCUGUAGCUCUAACUCAAAGCCCUGUCAACCAGAGGACGGUUUGGUUAGUGCCUCGUAGAGCCUCCACCGAGUCGUCGCCAUCUUACUUUUGGAAGCUUCUCUCAUCAUAUAUAACAUUUAUCUCACUUUAGGCCGUCAAUGUGUUUGCCAUAGGCACUUCUGGCUUGUACCUGAUAAAGAAGUCUCACACGGGAAAGGAAGAAGCCGAAUGGAGCUCCCACUUCGGGUCUGCUGCUUGUUAGCUGUGCACCCUUGGUUUUUUAGGACUGGGCUUUGAAAUGUCUUCACUUCUGGAAGGCUCUUCCCCACUGACCCCACCCAGGACUUCCGCUCAUAGGAUGGCACUACCUGUAUUAAGGGCACAUCUUUCCUCCUCAGAGAAAUCAGGGAAGUAACUCAAGGCAGGAUCCUGGAGGCGGGGGCUGAAGGAGUGCGGUUUACUUCCUUGCUUCUCGUGUGAGCGCUGUAGAGCACCUGCCUAGGGUGCAUGAGGACUCAGGUUUGAUGCCAAGAAUUCAAACCAAACUAACGCAUGCACCAACAAACAUCAGCAGAAGCAUUAGAAAGAAGGAAGACCACAGGUGGAUUUCUCUUGGGGAAAUCACUUCCACUGGAAGGAGCCGGGAGAUGCUGACCUUGUCCUGAGAUCCCUCACACUGAAGAAAACAUUUCUUCAACCUGGAGCAAUACAGAUCCCUCUUUUAAAAUAAAAAUACUUUCAAGAAUUCUUUCCCUUCAAGGACUUUUUAUGGUUGUGCUAUUAAAAUCUGUACCCGCAGGAGCGCUGGAGUAAAUCCCUUCUGCUGACAGCUUUCCGCAGACUGGAAAAGCAAAACAAAUGGACAAAUUACAGAAUGGCGAACUAAGAAAUCAAUGAAAUUCAAAUUAAAAGCAUUAAUUUAAUAGGGUGUUGUUUUAGCAAGCCUACUUCGUGGCUUCCCUCUCCAGUGUGGAAUGUGGUCUCUUGUGAGCCUGGGGGAUCUUUCAGAGAGCUGUUCCUACUCUCUCUUGUUAUAGCCGCAGUGGAAGCUGUCCAUGGACAGAGGGCACGGGACUGCAGUCUCUUGUUCUGAGAACAACAUAAUUAAGAAACAGAACGGAAUUGAAUGCAAUUGAAUGUGGGCCUUAAAAUCUCAG